GUCCCUAAGUUAAGUAGGAUAAGCAGAAAGAAGAAGCAGAAGCUGGGGUCUCUACUCUAAUCCAUUCGAUUCCUUUUUGUUUUACCACAUUGAUUCUCUCGCAACUGAUAGUUCUUUGCUGAUUUACCUGUGCAUAUCUCAAACAACUGAGUCAGAACCCACAUGUAUGGAACUUUGUGUGUGUGAUGCUGAUUGUAUUCAUUUGACUGUAAAGUUCAGGUUUCUAUUCUUAGCUCAAUAUACAAAUUGAAGCUGAAGCCUUUAUAGGUAACAUGAAUUUUUCCGGUUUUAGCUAAUGCAGUAAACAACUCUUAUGAAUAGGGCGGGGUUUGAUACUUGAAUGCUGCAUCUUAUGUUGACAAGGCGCUGAGCCGUUGAUGCUAUUUAGAAAGUGUCAUACUUAUGGUAUAAUUUUACGUUGAACUAGGAGAAGUUUUCAUAUGAUAUCUAACAUGGGUGCAACAAAGAAAAUCUUCAAUGUAGUAUUGAUGCACCCCAUAUAUUUAUUAUAUUUUAUCAUCUCUCUUCUAAUAUGGGACCAGCAAUAACGGUAGCUGCAGUUCACAAAUCAUUAACUUCAGGUCACCCCUCAAAACAAAUCAUUAACUUCGGGUCUGCCUACUUCCAAUAUGCUCAAUAGUGUCUUCUCGAAGUUUACUUCUGAAUUAAGAAAUGCGAACCAUUGAUCAUGGAUUUAUUAAGGGUAUCUUCAUGAUUGGUAUCGACUUAGAAAUUACACAAGAUAAAUAUGUAUGAUUAGUCCAUUGGAUAUUCUCCGACGAUUUAAUCAUUAGUCCAUUGGAUAUUCUCCGAGGAUUUAAUCAAUUUCAGCUAUGGAUGCUGACUCAAUUUUCAAACCAAGGUAAAUAAAUCCCUUCCCUUAGAUAUUUUCUACUCAACCUUUCGCUUCAGAAAUUAGUAUAUGCACAAGCAUGAACCUCUGGUUGCUUAAUUUAUUUUGUACAAAUAGUUGGUUUUCAUUUGUUGCCCUGUUUUUCCUGUGAAUAAGGGAUUCGAUGAGAGAUUAUCAUUGUCUUGCUUCUCUGAAUUGAGUUCACAAAGAAAUGAUAGUGUUUUGGACUUGUAGUCAGUAUUUGAAACCAAGUUAUUCUUAUUUCAGAGUAAUGAAUGUCUUUACCGUUGUUAAAUGCAACAAUGGCUAUGAUAAGUACAAAUAAGUAUGUGAUAAGUUCAUUUAUUUUUUCUGGCUCUCUGUUUGCUUAACCUUUCCAUCUCUUUUUAGUUUUGUGUCCUAAGAUUGUUGCUCCAGACCAGAAUCAUGUAAUUAUUCUGUUCAUUUGUUUGUGAGUUCUGAUAAUAAUAUUCUUUUUUUUCUGCGAUACAUGUAUCUUUAUGGAUGACGAAUUUCCCCAUAAAUUGGUUCUAUGUGAAGGCAAUCAUGAGCGUAUGAUCUCUUUGGUUCUUCCUGCAAGGAAAUGAUUCCUUUAGUUGCUCAUGUAGUAUCCUACUGUUUAUUUCUUUAGUGAUGACAAGUCAAGCAAUCAAUCCCGCUGUUGGGAAACUAAGUGAAUUGUCGUUGUCGAUGGGAUAUUAUUGUUGGGUUCAUUGCUAUAAUGAGAAUGCUUUGGCAUAUAGUAUUUUCAUAAGUAUUCUGCACAAGUACUGAAGAAUGAUUCAAACAAGAUGGUGAAGUACAAGCCCAAAGUUCUCGACAAAGAUAGGUCAGGUGACCUUAUUGUUCCUUCCGAGGUGAAAUACAUUUCUGUAGUGAAAUUUUUGAAAGACUUCAAGGUUCUCUCUGAUUUUUUUGAUUGCACAUCAGCGGUACAUUGAGACUUUCAUAUCUUUGAUGUAUCUUCUUCUAAUUUUUGGUUGGUAACUGAUUCAUAUACAUAGACACUGCAAGUGGUAAACAUGCAUGAGAAAGAAUUAUAGCACAUCCAUGCUCUCUUCAAUGCCGAACCAGGGACUUUGGUUCCAUGUGACAACGGACCAUACUCUGCUCCAACCGUCGAUUUCUUCAACAAAUACAAGAACUCAUCACUCUUUUCUCCAAUGAAAAGAACUAUAAGCUGAGCUCUGAGUGCUUAGAGACCAGGGAACAGUCGCACUACCUGUUUUACUAUUCUACUGUACUAUUUCCUUAAGCUUGAUCAAUAAAAAUAUGUUAGUAUGUAGGUCAAGUAGAACCUCCUGCCUUCCAUGUACCGGAUAUGUAAAAGCCUCCAUGAGCUAUCUAAUCAGAUUUGUCAAUCUCACGGUCUACUUAUAUAUGUAUUAUUGUUGUUGUCUAAUCACUGCUCUUAUGUAUAAAUGCAUCUUUUGAGCCCUAUUGCUCAUAACA